UACCUGGCUCAGGAUGAACGCUGGCGGCGUGCCUAACACAUGCAAGUCGAACGGAGAUAUUGCUUGGAAGCUUUUCGAGGUGAAAGAGAACUAUCUUAGUGGCGGACGGGUGAGUAACGCGUGGGCAACCUGCCUCAUACAGGGGGAUAGCAUCGGGAAACUGGUGGUAAAACCGCAUAAGCGCACGAGGACGCAUGUUUUUGUGUGAAAAGGAGAAAUCUGGUAUGAGAUGGACCCGCGUCUGAUUAGCUAGUUGGAGUGGUAAAAGCACACCAAGGCAACGAUCAGUAGCCGGCCUGAGAGGGUGGACGGCCACAUUGGGACUGAGACACGGCCCAGACUCCUACGGGAGGCAGCAGUGGGGAAUAUUGCACAAUGGAGGGGACUCUGAUGCAGCGACGCCGCGUGAGUGAAGAAGUAAUUCGUUAUGUAAAGCUCUAUCAGCAGGGAAGAAAGUGACGGUACCUGAAAAAGAAGCUCCGGCUAAAUACGUG
rnacentral:rRNA from 1 species